GGAGUUAGCCGGUGCUUCUUCUGUGAGUGAUGUCCUUCCUGCCGGCUAUUAACCCGCAGGCCUUCUUCCUCACUGAAAGUGCUUUACAACCCGAAGGCCUUCUUCACACACGCGGCAUGGCUGGAUCAGGGUUGCCCCCAUUGUCCAAUAUUCCCCACUGCUUCCUCCCGUAGGAGUCUGGGCCGUGUCUCAGUCCCAGUGUGGCUGAUCAUCCUCUCAGACCAGCUACGGAUCGUCGCCUUGGUGAGCCGUUACCUCACCAACCAGCUAAUCCGACAUAGGCUCAUCCGAUAGCGCGAGGCCCGAAGGUCCCCCGCUUUCCCCCGUAGGGCGUAUGCGGUAUUAGCCUGGGUUUCCCCCAGGUUAUCCCCCACUACCGGGCAGAUUCCUAUGCAUUACUCACCCGUCCGCCGCUCGCCACCAGGGAGCAAGCUCCCCGUGCUGCCGCUCGACUUGCAUGUGUUAGGCCUGCCGCCAGCGUUCAAUCUGAACCAGAUCAAUUCUGA
rnacentral:rRNA from 1 species